GGGCGGUUAGCUCAAUGGUGGAGCGCUUGGUUUACAUCCAAGAGGUUAGAGGUUCGAAUCCUCUAUCGCCCACCA
rnacentral:tRNA from 1 species